GUUGGCCCGGUCGGCAUAACUACACAUGCAGUCGAGCGGAUGAAGGGAGCUUGCUCCUGGAUUCAGCGGCGGACGGGUGAGAAGGCCUAGGAAUCUGCCUGGUAGUGGGGGAUAACGUCCGGAAACGGGCGCUAAUACCGCAUACGUCCUGAGGGAGAAAGUGGGGGAUCUUCGGACCUCACGCUAUCAGAUGAGCCUAGGUCGGAUUAGCUAGUUGGUGGGGUAAAGGCCUACCAAGGCGACGAUCCGUAACUGGUCUGAGAGGAUGAUCAGUCACACUGGAACUGAGACACGGUCCAGACUCCUACGGGAGGCAGCAGUGGGGAAUAUUGGACAAUGGGCGAAAGCCUGAUCCAGCCAUGCCGCGUGUGUGAAGAAGGUCUUCGGAUUGUAAAGCACUUUAAGUUGGGAGGAAGGGCAGUAAGUUAAUACCUUGCUGUUUUGACGUUACCAACAGAAUAAGCACCGGCUAACUUCGUGCCAGCAGCCGCGGUAAUACGAAGGGUGCAAGCGUUAAUCGGAAUUACUGGGCGUAAAGCGCGCGUAGGUGGUUCAGCAAGUUGGAUGUGAAAUCCCCGGGCUCUAUUCUGGGAACUG
rnacentral:rRNA from 1 species